AUUUUUCUUAAAGACAGUGGCGGAUUCGAAUGCUCCAGUGCAGGAGAAGGCGUUGGAUGCUUUGAUUGCGUUCUUAAGAGCGGCUGACGCUGAUGCCGGAAGAUUGAUCUAUCAUAUUAUGACCUGUUCUGGAGUCUUAAGUUAGUUCUAUUAAAUGGUUCCAAGCUUCUGAGUAAACAAGAGGUAAAUUCUACAAGAACGGACUUUACCUUUUGACCAUCUGGAAUUAUUUAUAUAGCUUCCUAUGUACAAGCACUAAAAGAAUCAGUCAUUGAAAUCUUUAACUGCAAAGAGGGCAAAUUUGCAUACCCUUGGGUUGAGAAAGUCAUCGUGGGACAGGUUGAUUUUUGGUCGGGUUUCUUGAAGCUUUAAGGUUGUAUGGUCGUGGCUGGUGCCAAAUAGAAGAGCAUGUAGGCACCAAAUUUGUAGUUCAAAUUCGAAGCCAUGCUCAAAAGUUUUUCUCUAAGGAUCAUUGCUUUGAGUUCAUUACAAGAUUUCCUGGAUUAAGUAAAUGUAUUAUAUCUUUUAUUACCAAGAUUUACUUGAUUAAGAAAAUGCAUUGUAUGUUUUAUUA